CCUACGGGAGGCAGCAGUAGGGAAUCUUCCGCAAUGGGCGAAAGCCUGACGGAGCAACGCCGCGUGAGUGAUGAAGGUCUUCGGAUCGUAAAACUCUGUUAUCAGGGAAGAACAAAUGUGUAAGUAACUGUGCACAUCUUGACGGUACCUGAUCAGAAAGCCACGGCUAACUACGUGCCAGCAGCCGCGGUAAUACGUAGGUGGCAAGCGUUAUCCGGAAUUAUUGGGCGUAAAGCGCGCGUAGGCGGUUUUUUAAGUCUGAUGUGAAAGCCCACGGCUCAACCGUGGAGGGUCAUUGGAAACUGGAAAACUUGAGUGCAGAAGAGGAAAGUGGAAUUCCAUGUGUAGCGGUGAAAUGCGCAGAGAUAUGGAGGAACACCAGUGGCGAAGGCGACUUUCUGGUCUGUAACUGACGCUGAUGUGCGAAAGCGUGGGGAUCAAACAGGAUUAGAUACCCUGGUAGUCCACGCCGUAAACGAUGAGUGCUAAGUGUUAGGGGGUUUCCGCCCCUUAGUGCUGCNGCUACGCAUAAGACACUCCGCCGUCGGGAGGUACGACCGCCGAGGUUAGUAACGUACGAAAGGAAAGUUAGUACGGACGUGAGACGUUGCCGACGGACGACGACGAGGGGAGGAGGG
rnacentral:rRNA from 1 species